AGAGUUUGAUCCCGGCUCAGAAUCAACGCUGGCGGCGCGCUUAACACAUGCAAGUCGCACGAGAAAGGGAGCAAUCCUAAGUAAAGUGGCGUACGGGUGAGUAACACGUGGAUCAUCUACCUUUUGGCGGGGAAUACCUCUUGGAAACGGGAGACAAUACCGCAUAAGCUCGAAAGAGGAAAGCAGCAAUGCACCGAAAGAGGAGUCCGCGGUCGAUUAGCUAGAUGGUGAGGUAAUGGCUCACCAUGGCGAAGAUCGAUAGCCGGCCUGAGAGGGCUCACGGCCACACUGGCACUGAAACACGGGCCAGACUCCUACGGGAGGCAGCAGUGGGGAAUCUUGCACAAUGGAGGAAACUCUGAUGCAGCGACGCCGCGUGAGUGAUGAAGCCCUUCGGGGUGUAAAGCUCUUUCGACAGGAACGAUAAUGACGGUACCUGAAGAAGAAGCUGCGGCUAACUACGUGCCAGCAGCCGCGGUAAUACGUAGGCAGCAAGCGUUGUUCGGAAUUACUGGGCGUAAAGAGUGUGUAGGCGGUGCUCUAAGUUUGGUGUGAAAUCUCCCGGCUCAACCGGGAGGCUGCAUCGAAUACUGGAAUGCUAGAGGGUGGGAGAGGUAAGCGGAAUUCCUGGUGUAGCGGUGAAAUGCGUAGAUAUCAGGAGGAACACCUGUGGUGUAGACAGCUUACUGGACCACUUCUGACGCUGAGACACGAAAGCGUGGGUAGCAAACAGGAUUAGAUACCCUGGUAGUCCACGCCCUAAACGAUGCAUACUUGGUGUGGGCCAUUCAUUUGGUCUGUGCCGGAGCUAACGCGUUAAGCACUCCGCCUGGGGAGUACGGUCGCAAGACUAAAACUCAAAGGAAUUGACGGGGGCCCGCACAAGCGGUGGAGCAUGUUGUUUAAUUCGACGCAACGCGAAGAACCUUACCUGGGCUAGAAAGUACAGGAAGUCGGUCGAAAGGUCGAUGUGCCCUUCGGGGAACCUGUGGUUAGGUGCUGCAUGGCUGUCGUCAGCUCGUGUCGUGAGAUGUUGGGUUAAGUCCCGCAACGAGCGCAACCCCUGUUGUUAGUUGCCAGCAUUAAGUUGGGCACUCUAACAAGACUGCCGACCUUUAAGUCGGAGGAAGGUGGGGAUGACGUCAAGUCAUCAUGGCCCUUAUGUCCAGGGCUACAAACGUGCUACAAUGGUCGGUACAAAGGGUAGCGAACUCGCGAGAGGGAGCCAAUCUCAAAAAGCCGACCUCAGUACAGAUAGGAGUCUGCAACUCGACUCCUUGAAGUCGGAAUCGCUAGUAAUCGCUGAUCAGCAUGGCAGCGGUGAAUACGUUCCCGGGCCUUGUACACACCGCCCGUCACACCAUGGGAGUCGAUUGCUCCAGAAGUACCUGAGCCAACCGCAAGGAGGCAGGGUCCCAAGGAGUGAUCGGUAACUGGGGUGAAGUCG
rnacentral:rRNA from 1 species